AUGAAGUCUGCUCUUCGAUCACUAGGUGUUCGGUGUUGUGCGCAAACCAAAAAUUGAUGUUGUCCAUGCAAAUAUCGAACUGGUUCAAGGUAUGGUGAGCUCCAUUGCUAUCCUUGCUAAUUAAUUUGAUAGAUGGAUUAGAAGGGUAUUAAUCGUGAUGAUUAUUCUAUUUGUAGCUUAGAUGCACGGGUGGGUGUUCGAAAUAUAUGUUGUGAUUGACGUCGUUUUAGUAUUCAUGUGGUGAUUUACGUCUUUCCUGUGUUCAUGCGUUUGAAUCGCAAUAUGCAAUUAGUGAGGAAGGCUAGAUGGUGUAGGCAGUAAAGGUUCGUGCAGCGUCCACUUAGUGUUCGGCAAAACGCCCAAACCAUGAUUCAUCGUCGAUUUGCGAUUAUCAAAUCGUUUUGGUCAUGGUGAGCGGAUGGGUUAUUCGUGAUAAUUAGAUCAUUAAAUAAAUUAAUGGGUUAGUGUGAUGAUCCUUUUAUUUAGUAUAUGUGUGCUUGGUAGCUAUGGCUAGAUCCGUUGUUGUGUCGGCGUGCUGUUGUGUGGUGAAAAUAGCUUUAGCGCAGCACUCCUCGGAUGUUCUGUAAAAUAGGUGAACUGUAGAUCAUCGUCGAUCUCGUUAAUUCGAGUUCUAAAUAGUUGUGGUGCACAGACUCAUUGCCUUGGCUAUCUAGUUUGUUGUAUUGAUUAUAUAUUAGUCACGAUGAUUCUCGAAUUCUUUUUAAAGCAAGAGUUUCGUAGAACUCUAGGUUAUAUAAUAAUAUUCUACCUGUUAGUUUAAGUUUAAACAAGGUGUUUUAUUUAGUAAAUGUGCUAUGCAUAAUGAUCUAAAAUAGUAAUUCUAAAAGCUAACUGAAAUGCUUUUGUUCAUUGUUCUAAGCUUCUGGUGUCCUAAGAGGGAGAGUCUAAGUAUUGUUAGUCCUUCGGUGUCAUGCGUUAGCUAAUGAUGGUAUGGGACUUGUUUAGAAUAUUGUUCUUGAUGUUUGAGUUAGAUCCGUUUAAGCUAGAGAAGUGUGCUGGUUGUACUUAGUAAUAUCUCAACAUCUAGUGAUUGCUUUUAAAUGUUAUUAUGUGCCUCACCACUAGAUAUUUAAUUCACUAUCGUGUAGCAAUAAUUAGGCUUUUGCUAUUCCUAUUUAUAUUUAUUCAUGUGCAUUAUGCAUAUCAUUUAGGUACGUUAAUUGAUCACGUGAUACGAAGAACCAAAGCUGAGUUGACCCCAAGAUGUUGUAAAGCGUGAGCUACUCCGCAAGGUGAUGCUGAUAAUGAACCUGAAGAUGGAUAAUCUGAACGAGUGCCAAGAGAAAGGAUAGUCGUCAAGUGAUCGGCAUCUAACAAACACUAACCUAGUGUUAUUCCAG
rnacentral:lncRNA from 1 species